UGCGUAUGGUCACUAUGUACGAAAACGAAGUGCACAAGAAAGAAUUACAAAAAAACAAAAAGGAAGAAGAAGAAUUCAAGGCCUCUUUGUUCUUUUUAAUAUUCAAUGGAACUUAGAAGUGGAAAAAUUAUUAAAAAGCUAAAAUUACUCGACAUAUCGAUACACAUAUAACAAGAGCUUGCUUACCAUGGAUAUCAUGAUUCAUGAGCUCCGUCCAAUGUCUUCAAUCAUCAUUCCUUUAAGACUCGUUGCUAACCAGAUAGCUGUCUCCCUUGGGGAAACCUUGUCUUUCCCAAAAGGUUUCAAAACUACAAGAAGCUCUUCCAAUCUGUUUUGCUACAGCAACUCAGCGGACAAUACUAGAAGCCCUUCAAGUGCUUCUGCCUUCUGCCGAAAAGACUUAUCAUCUAAAGUUUCCUUUGCUG
rnacentral:misc_RNA from 1 species